rnacentral:rRNA from 1 species
UACAGAGGUCCCAAGCGUUGUUCGGAUUUACUGGGCGUAAAGGGCGCGUAGGCGGUUAUUUAAGUGAGAUGUGAAAUCCCUGGGCUUAACCUAGGAACUGCACCUCAUACUGGAUGACUGGAGUAUUGUAGAGGGUAGUGGAAUUUCCGGUGUAGCGGUGAAAUGCGUAGAGAUCGGAAGGAACACCAGUGGCGAAGGCGGCUACCUGGACAAAUACUGACGCUGAGGCGCGAGAGCGUGGGGAGCAAACAGG